UAUGCCUGCUUCAAUCAAAAAGUACAGCAGAAGUUCCACUCUAUGACUUCAAAGAUUGGAACACGAAAAUGUCAUACAUUCUCCUGUGUCCUCUGAGAACCCUCACUCUUGGAAAAUAUGUUGGAGGAAACCCAAAUAACACCCACAGAGUGAGCACAAGGAAAGCCUUAUAGGUUUCUGAUUGAUAGAAAGGCUGAGGUUCCAGCAGACGGCCAGCACCAACCACCAAGCUUGUGGCCUAUGGAAGAUAAUUGAGAAGGAAGAGACUCCAGAAAGCAGGUCCAGAAACCCUGGAGAACAGUGGCCAUGGGGAAUUUCAGAAAGGAGAGCCGGGGACUGUCUCGACUUUGAGGGAAGUUGUCUCACAGAGACUGGCCAGUAGGAUUUAAUUAUUGUUUUGGUCCAGUGACUGUUGGCUGUUUACCUACUUUUCCUUUGACACAUGAGAAAGGUUUUUGUUUGUUUUUCCCAGAUGCUACGUUUCUCCGCCUGCCUUGCAGUUAGGAGUGGCCAUGUGACUAGUUCAGAUCAAGGGAUGUGAGCAGAAACAAUGCCAGCCACUCCCUGGCUGAGGCUAUUAACCAGGGAGUGUUUCCCCUCCAUGUCCUCUCUUUCCUCAUACCCUGGCUGGGAAAACAAUGAACAAGGCCCUACGGAGGGAUGAAGAUGCAAGAUGGAAGGAGUUUGGGCUCUGAAUGACCAUGUGGGGAAAACCAUACAUAGGCCAGUAAAACUCACUUUGUA